ensembl:lncRNA
UUAAGUUUUGCCCCAUGAAUUAUGUCUUUCUCAACAGAAAACGAAAAGACCCUUUUUAACAUUCACUGCAAAGUCCAGCUUCUCCUGGAGAGCAUCAAACACUGCUGUGGCUAUGAGAAUGAAGGUAUGGUGGGUCACUGUGCCUUUCCAGGGGCCCCGUCUUGUUACAGCUGUGCUUGACCAUGCAGUUUGACACUAGACCGGGUUUCUGCCGACUUUCACUUUCAGGGUGGGGGCAUCCUCAAGCCUUACGGGGUUGAAGUCUGAGAGAAUGUUCACGCUAACUACCUGCAGAUUGUAACUGGAGUCCAUGAGGCUCUGCUGAUAUUCCAGUUCAAAUCAGGCCACAGGGGCCAACCUCUGGUGCUCUUGCAUGUAAUCCCAUGUAUAGUUGCAUACAAAGGCUCCAAGUUACCAUGGUCCCAGUGUGACAUAACAGGAAGCCAGUGUCUCUAAGGAGGCCCCAUGAACUUGUUAAAUCACAUGAAAUAAGCUAAUAAGGUGUAGGUUUCUAGUUACCGGUUAUGGAUUCUAGCUGGUCCUGUGCAGAUUUUUAUGCUCAGAACAAGAAAGAUUUUCAUUUUAGAGAUGGGCCUGAAUCAUACUCCUCCUGCUCCCAGACUUCGCUGGCCUUCAGCCCUUAUCUGUGUCAUGCUUUGCAGGUGAAAUCGAGCUGGCAGACGUGAGUGGCCAGGUGAAGAAUUUGCUUCAGAACCAACAUUGCUAUGCCUCAGAGCUUCUGAGCGAGCGAGAGAUCUGUGUACUCCUCAGUGUCACACGUGGUGAAGGUUCUUCAGAGGUAGUAUUUACACCACUACUGAAAGAUGAAGGAGUUAUUAACCCUAAGUUCCUUGCUAAACUGUGUAACUGGGAAGAUUCCAAGGUCUCUUCUACCAGAGUGAAAUCCAAAAAGGCUGGCAAAAAACCAACUGUGCUCUUAGAGCUUCCGUCUGCAGAAGGAGACCCUGAUAGUGGCAAAUCCCAAGGGAUGGUUGGUGCUGAGCUGUUGGAGGACCUCUCCUUUCCGGCUGCCAUUUGAAAAUGUUUCACGUUUGCUGGCUUGUUCCUUGGUGAAGCACCUGUUGGAUGGGUUGGGUCCAGGUCGGAGUCUGGAACACUAGGAACGUUACAUGCGUGUAUUGCCUUUCAUUCUGAAUGACCCCAAAUUUACUGUGGAAAAACACUUCCAUUCUCUGCUGGCCAAUUGGAAAGGAAGUGAGAUAAUGGCUUCCUUCAUGCUGGCUCACAGAAAAAUGCAAAGUUGCAUCUAAAGAGGGAGUAGCAUGACUUAGUGAUCUAAGUAUGGGCAUAGAAGGGGAGACCUUCUGAGCUGUAAUCCCUUUAUUGAGCCCUGCUACGCUGGACCACUGAUUUAUUGUUAAUUCAGCAGAAAAGGUGCAUGUGGUGCUUGACAGACCCAUUUAAAAUCACAGCUCCAUCCCACAAGGAAUUUACAGUCCAGCUAAAACUCUUUAGCUGGUGGCUAAUCUCACUGAGCUACUACUUCAGUGGGAUUACUCCCAUACUUGGAUUUAGGCAUAUGCUUAAGUACCUUGCUGAACAGAGGUUGUAAUGGUUAAUUCAUUACACUGAAUUAUCACUUUAUGUGAAACAUACUAUAAUGUUAGCCUGGAAAUUGGCUGACCUUCCUUUUGUAAGGCCUGGGUCAUGUAUCUUUGGUCCUUGGCUCCUCCAGUGGAUGAUUCAGAUGAAACCGCUCAGAAUAUUAGCCUUGCCUGGUGGUUUUCUCCGCACUGCUGCAAAAGUGACAACUCUAGGAGGUUUAUAGCUACCUGAUUAGGAGAGCUUAUGCAGGCAAAAUAUUUACCGAAGCCUGAGUAAGGACCACAGGUUCAGGCCCUAUAAGAUUACUAGGUUAUUGGAUGUAAAAUACAACUUGCACUGAUGUCAUGGUUAAUGUGUCACCAGCUUUAUGGGUACCAGCUGGAGGUUCUUUUGCUGAUUGGCUACUUUCUCUGUGAUUCAGAAUUCUACUUUGCUCCUUCUGAUUCAUGUAACCUUUGCUUUAUGUUAUGUAC